rnacentral:rRNA from 1 species
AACGAACGCUGGCGGCAUGCCUAACACAUGCAAGUCGAACGAGACCUUCGGGUCUAGUGGCGCACGGGUGCGUAACGCGUGGGAACCUGCCCUUAGGUUCGGAAUAACUCCCCGAAAGGGGUGCUAAUACCGGAUAAUGUCUUCGGACCAAAGAUUUAUCGCCUUUGGAUGGGCCCGCGUUGGAUUAGCUAGUUGGUAGGGUAAAAGCCUACCAAGGCGACGAUCCAUAGCUGGUCUGGGAGGAUGAUCAGCCACACUGGGACUGAGACACGGCCCAGACUCCUACGGGAAGCAGCAGUGGGGAAUAUUGGACAAUGGGCGAAAGCCUGAUCCAGCAAGGCCGCGUGAGUGAUGAAGGCCUUAGGGUUGUAAAGCUCUUUUACCCGGGAUGAUAAUGACAGUACCGGGAGAAUAAGCUCCGGCUAACUCCGUG